rnacentral:rRNA from 1 species
GUUGACGCUGGCGGCAGGCCUAACACAUGCAAGUCGAGCGAGCGGCGGACGUGUGAGUAAUGUAGAGGACCCUGCCAUAUGGCGGGGGAUACCUACUGGAAACGGUGCCUAAUACCGCAUACCAGCGGAUGAAACCAGAUGGGAUUAGCUAGUAGGUGGGGUAAAGGCUCACCAAGGCAACGAUCCAUAGCUGGUCUGAGAGGAUGACCGGCCACACUGGAACUGAGACACGGCCCAGACUCCUACGGGAGGCAGCAGUGGGGAAUAUUGCACAAUGGGCGAAAGCCUGAUGGAGCCAUGCCGCGUGUAUGAAGAAGGCCUUCGGGUUGUAAAGUACUUUCAGCAGGGAGGCGUUACCUGAAGAAGAAGCAACGGCUAACUACGUGCCAGCAGCCGCGGUAAUAC